UGGAGGACUGAGAAGGUUAAGCAGCUCCUGAAAUGCUGCUCUAACUGGUUAUAACCUCCGACAGUAGAAGGCGAUGCAUCCGCUGAGAAUCGCUCUGCUGUGUGCACGAGCGACGUGAUGCUUGUGGACAAAUG
rnacentral:snoRNA from 1 species